rnacentral:rRNA from 1 species
CCUGAACGCUGGCGGCGUGGCUAAGACAUGCAAGUCGCACGGAGGUAGCAAUACCUCAGUGGCGAACGGGUGAGUAAUGAAUCGCUAAUGUGCCCCGGACCCUGAGAUAGCUGGCCGAAAGGCCAGGUAAUAUCAGAUGAUAUAACCGAACCGCAUGGUUUGGUUCUCAAAGGUCCGCCGGUCUGGGAGCAGGCGAUUUCGUAUCAGCUAGUUGGUGAGGAACGGCUCACCAAGGCGACGACGCGUAGCCGGACUGAGAGGUUGGCCGGCCACAUUGGGACUGAGACACUGCCCAGACUCCUACGGGGGGCUGCAGUAACGAAUCUUCCGCAAUGCACGCAAGUGUGACGGAGCGACGCCGCGUGUAGGACGAAGCCCUUCGGGGUGUAAACUACUGUCAGGGGUUAGAAAGUUCUGAUCAACCCCAGAGGAAGGGACGGCUAACUCUGUGCCAGCAGCCGCAGUAAC